rnacentral:lncRNA from 10 species
GGGUUGGACUUGAGUGGGGAACCCCGGUCUGGGCAUCUGAGUGAAGUCGGCAGUUCUCCAAUGGGUGAUGGGCAAAGGAAAUUGCGCAUGACUGGGGAAGCUGGCACAGGUGUUAGGGGUGAGGAUGAACAGAAGGGGGUUCUUUGUGGCAGCAACAAACCGUCUUUACCCAUCAGCCUUUGCAGGAAUGGAUUUUUGGAUAUGGGGAUUCUGGGGGGAAGGCUGGCCGCUCGCUGCAGAGAGAGACUGGCAGAUGAUACUGCCAGCUGCUUAAGGGCAGUCUCUUCUACAUCCCUCCUGCCCUGGGGGCAGUGGGGUAACUACACAGCGUGAGUAGCCGGCUUCUAGAAAGCGUAGCUGACAGCCGCAGUGGAGGGAAAAUAGAACUGGGGAUGUCACAAGUGGUCCCAGGUAAAUACCUCAGUUUCCCCAUUUGUCAGCCAGAGAUACUACUUUCUCCCAGAUCCUUUGCUGUAUCACCAAUGAUGAGAAAAUGAGGGAAUAGCUGUGAAAAGUUAAAAGGUACCACGCUAAUGAGGGUGAUGUGAUGAAGCCACAUUGACCAGGAACAGCUUGGCUAAGUGGGUGGGGUUGACGGGCUUUCCCAAGGCGGCCCUUGCAGUUCCAACUGGGCCCUUUGGCAUCUCCUUCUGAGGAGCCCAGGAAGGAAGAGGUAUCCAGUAACAGUUCAUUGGAGUUGGACAAAACUAGUCCCAAAGGUCUUCCUUGGGCUUGCUGGGGAAAGGCAAGAGACUGGCAAAUCCAGAGAACAUCAGAAGACCCAUUCAUUGGUCAGCCACCACAUUCAAGGCUGUGCUCCAGGACAGGGCCUCACACACACAGUUUCUAUAAAGGGCCAGAUCAUAAAUAUUUGGGACUUUGUAAAAUGCAUGGUCUCUGUCUCAGCUAUUCAACUUUACCAUUGUAGCGUGAAAGCUGCCAUAAACAACACAUCAACAAAUGACCAUUGUGGGCAUGCUUCAGUUCAAGUCAUUUAUGGUCACCGAAAUGUGAGUUUCACAUAAUUUUCACUUGUUGUGAAAUGCUGUUCUACUUCUGAUUUGUUUUCUACCCACUUAAGAUGUCAACCCAUUCUUAGCUCAAGGGCCAUGCCAAAAUAGAUAGUUACAGGCUGUGGUUUGCCAAUCCUUGUUCUAGGACCUGGAGUUAGAGCUGUGAACAAGAGCAGAGAACACCUUGUGCCACUUGAGUACCAUGUCCAUUGGUUCUGGAAAUCAAUUGGGCGUCUAGAUGGCUGUACCCUCAUGGAGCUUCUACCUGAAUAGGAGAGACCAGAGGUGACAAGUGAAUAGCCACAUCUGCAAUCUAAUGUCUGGAUAUGACUCUAUGAUUUAUUUGAAGACGUUGAGCAGGAUGAGAGGACAGGUGAGGUGGGGAACCAUUUAGAUAGGUGCCUACAGGCUGUGUGUGGUGGCUCACGCCUGUGAUCUCAGCACUUUGGGAGGCCAAGGUGGGUGCAUUGCUUGAUGCCAGGAGUUUGAGACCAGCCUGGCCACCAUGGAGAAACACCAUCUCUACUAAAACAAAACAAAACAAAAGUUAGCCAGGUGUGGUGGCACAUGUCUGUAAUCCCGGCUACUCAAGAGGCUGAGGCAUGAGAAUUGCUUCAACCCGGGAGGUCAAGGUUGCAGUGAGCUGAGAUCACACCACUGCACUCCAACCUGGGUGGCACAGCAAGACUUUAUCUCAAAACAAACAAAC